rnacentral:tRNA from 1 species
AUUUCUCUAGUAUUAAUAAGUACAGUUGACUUCCAAUCAACCAGUUCUGGUAGAAAUCCAGAGAGAAAUA